AAACUGAAACAGAGAAAGCCAAAAGACUGUUCUGAAUCUGAUGCAAGACGAUGUCGUUUGGUGCAAACCAUUUUAACCCUUAGUAUGCAACGCGGCAGCAACAACAUAUUGGACUGCACCGUUUCAAUUGAAGUGGAUUGAAGCACAACGUUUUUACUUUUUUCUUCUAGAAUUAUUGUUAUUCACAUUAGGGGUUUUAUAAGUGAAGGGGAGGGAAGAGAAUAGCAUCUGGAAAAUGGUUCCAUUUACAAAAGGGAAUCUAACAAAGACAGAGCUUGAAACAAAGCGGUGGAACAGAGGUCUGGAAACUUGGAGCCAGCAGUCGGCACAAUGUAACGCGGCAUGACACAACGACAGAGACAAGGAGUUUUCAAGCUUGAGAGUUGAGGGUGGCUCCAGGUUGGAGAGAAGAAGAGAGAAAUAGAGCAGGACAUCGAACAGUAUUGGGGGCUAGAUCUCAUGGCGGAUCUUCCUGUGUUGGUGACGCCAGCACUAUUUGCAGUAAUCUGAAGUGGAAUUGGAAACUGGAUCUGUUGUAGACGGUGGUUGGUAGCUUGAUGUAUGAACCCAAUCAACUUGGACCGGACUUGAGACGCCUCAAGCUAAAUUGUUUUCUCUUUUUCUAUUGAGUCAUUAAGUUGUCCUAGUGGGCCAGGCUUCUUUUGUUGGUUAUAAAAACUGGCCAUGGCCUUCUUUUGUUGUUGGCAUGUUGUUAGUCUCUAUUCUAGACUGAGUAAUAUAUGUAUGGGGAGGAGGGUCUGGAAGUGAUUAUCUAAAGGCUUAUUAAGAAUUCACUUGUAUUCUUGGAGGUUAAGUCUCUUAGAAAUGCCCUGUUAUCCUUUUACAGUAAUUGAAUUAAAAUCAAUUUAUACAUUUCUGUUACACUUUCU